rnacentral:rRNA from 1 species
AAGAAGCAAUACCGUGAGGUGGGAGCAAAACUCAAAAAAUGAUCUCAGUUCGGACUGUAGGCUGCAACUCGCCUACACGAAGUUGGAAUUGCUAGUAAUCGUGGAUCAGCAUGCCACGGUGAAUACGUUCCCGGGUCUUGUACACACCGCCCGUCACACCAUGGGAGCUGGUAACACCCGAAGUCAGUAGUCUAACCGCAAGGAGGACGCUGCCGAAGGUGGGAUUAGCGACUGGGGUGAAGUCGUAACAAGGUAGC